rnacentral:rRNA from 1 species
UACGUAGGUGGCGAGCGUUGUCCGGAUUUACUGGGCGUAAAGAGCGCGCAGGCGGUCGUAUAAGUCGCGUGUGAAAGCCCCCGGCUCAACUGGGGAGGGUCACGCGAUACUGUUCGACUCGAAGGCAGGAGAGGGAAGUGGAAUUCCCGGUGUAGUGGUGAAAUGCGUAGAUAUCGGGAGGAACACCAGUGGCGAAGGCGACACACUGGCUCACUACUGACGCUGAGGCGCGAAAGCGUGGGGAGCAAACAGG